rnacentral:rRNA from 1 species
UACGUAGGGGGCAAGCGUUGUCCGGAAUCAUUGGGCGUAAAGCGCGUGUAGGCGGCUGACUAAGUCCGCUCUGAAAGCCCGGGGCUCAACCCCGGGAGGCGGGUGGAUACUGGUCAGCUCGAGUCCGGAAGAGGAGUGUGGAAUUCCUGGUGUAGCGGUGAAAUGCGCAGAUAUCAGGGGGAACACCAAUGGCGAAGGCAGCACUCUGGGACGGUACUGACGCUGAGACGCGAAAGCGUGGGGAGCAAACAGG